GCCCGAGUGAUGGAAUGGCAGACAUACAGGACUUAAAAUCCUGAGAGGGGAAACCCUCGUGCGGGUUCGACUCCCGCCUCGGGCA
rnacentral:tRNA from 1 species